rnacentral:rRNA from 1 species
GAUGAACGCUGGCGGCGUGCUUAACACAUGCAAGUCGAACGAAGCACUUAAACCUGAUUCUUCGGAUGAAGGUUUUUGUGACUGAGUGGCGGACGGGUGAGUAACGCGUGGGUAACCUGCCUCAUACAGGGGGAUAACAGUUAGAAAUGACUGCUAAUACCGCAUAAGACCACAGAGCCGCAUGGCUCAGUGGGAAAAACUCCGGUGGUAUGAGAUGGAACCGCGUCUGAUUAGGUAGUUGGUGGGGUAACGGCCUACCAAGCCAACGAUCAGUAGCCGACCUGAGAGGGUGACCGGCCACAUUGGGACUGAGACACGGCCCAAACUCCUACGGGAGGCAGCAGUGGGGAAUAUUGCACAAUGGGGGAAACCCUGAUGCAGCGACGCCGCGUGAGCGAAGAAGUAUUUCGGUAUGUAAAGCUCUAUCAGCAGGGAAGAAAAUGACGGUACCUGACUAAGAAGCACCGGCUAAAUACGUGCCAGCCGCCGCGGUAAUAC